AACACAUGCAGUCGAACGAUGAAGCCGCUUCGGUGGUGGAUUAGUGGCGAACGGGUGAGUAACACGUGGGCAAUCUGCCCUGACUCUGGGACAAGCCCUGGAAACGGGGUCUAAUACCGGAUAUUGACACGAGGGGGCAUCUUCUCGUGUGGAAAGCUCCGGCGGUGCAGGAUGAGCCCGCGGCCUAUCAGCUUGUUGGUGGGGUGAUGGCCUACCAAGGCGACGACGGGUAGCCGGCCUGAGAGGGCGACCGGCCACACUGGGACUGAGACACGGCCCAGACUCCUACGGGAGGCAGCAGUGGGGAAUAUUGCACAAUGGGCGCAAGCCUGAUGCAGCGCGCCGCGUGAGGGAUGACGGCCUUCGGGUUGUAAACCUCUUUCAGCAGGGAAGAAGCGCAAGUGACGGUACCUGCAGAAGAAGCACCGGCUAACUACGUGCCAGC
rnacentral:rRNA from 1 species